rnacentral:misc_RNA from 1 species
UCAAAGCUUCUCCUUCUGCUGAUGUUUGUUGUGCCCAUGAAGAUAUAGCCUAACUCUGCAUCGUUGACAACAAAUAGCCGCAAGUGCUGAUUGCUGCUGGUUGGCUCAGUCCAGAAUUUGGCCUCACAAAUGGGAUGAGCCUAGCUGAAAGUAUCACUGCCAAAAUGGCAUGCCACGCCCUUUCCAAGGUGAUCGGUCAGAAGGAGGUUGGCACGCAGUACAGCUUGCCUCUGGCUGCCAAGUCUGUUGGGUGCUCCUUCAAAGCAGCCAGCAAGUCGACGAGCGUGCAGACUACCGAGACUGUGGAUCAGUCAAGCUCCACCUCAGCAUCGAGGCCUUCUAUUUCUCCAUCAACAGCCAACGGUGACAGUUCACAGAAGGGAUGCCUCCACCAAGAUCAUCUCUGUGACUAUGAGGCUGAUAAACUGUUUCCUCCGGAAGCACAUGCCAGGGUCCAUGCUGGCGAGUGUCUGUUUAAAUGCCAUUUGUGCCCUCAGAGCUUCUCAAGAAAAGGUACCCUGAAGAGGCACUUGUGCGUCCACACGGGUAAGCAGCCAUUUCAAUGCCCUUCAUGCCUUCAGAGCUUCUCACAAAAAACCAACCUGAAAGACCACCUUCUCAUCCACACAGGUGAGAAGCCAUUUCAGUGCCCUUCAUGCCUUCAGAGGUUCUCACGAAAUGCCCAUCUGAAAAUCCACCUGCGCACCCACACCGGUGAAAAGCCAUGGCAGUGCCCUUCAUGCCCUCGACGCUUCUUGUAUAAGUCCACCAUGAAAAUCCACCUGGGAACGCACACAGGCGAGAAGCCGUUACAGUGCCCUUUAUGCCCUCAAAGCUUCUCGCAUAAUUCCGGCAUGGAAGACCACCUGCGCACCCACACAGGCGAGAAGCCAUUUCAGUGCCCUUCUUGCCCUCGUGUCUUUUCGUGCAAGUCCAAUAUGAGGAAACACAUACGCAUCCACACAGGUGAGAAGCCAUAUCAGUGCCGUUCAUGCCUUCAGAGCUUCUCACAAAAGUCCCAACUGAACACCCACCUGCGCAACCACACAGGUGAGAAGCCGUGGCAGUGCCCUUCAUGCCCUCGACGCUUCUUGUAUAAGUCCACCAUGAAAAUCCACCUGGGAACGCACACAGGCGAGAAGCCGUUACAGUGCCCUUUAUGCCCUCAAAGCUUCUCGCAUAAGUCCGGCAUGGAAGACCACCUGCGCACCCACACAGGCGAGAAGCCAUUUCAGUGCCCUUCUUGCCCUCGUGUCUUUUCGCGCAAGUCCUACGUGAAGAAACACAUGCAUACUCAUACAGGCGAGCAGCCAUUUCAAUGCCCUUCGUGCCUUCGGAGCUUCUCGCUGAAGAGUGCCAUGAAGCAACACAUGAGCAUUCAUGCAGGUGACCAACCAUACCGUUGCACUGUCUGCUCCAAGUCGUUUGCGCGGGCUGAUUACUUGAGUAGGCAUAAGAGAACACUGCACCAUGGUACUGUAGAGAAGGUCAGCAGCCACGUUGAACUACGUCAAUUUUCAAAUAAAAAUCUAUAGACAUGGAGCGUGCUGCAGGGUGUUCUGCUGCAUCAGGCAGCACAGGUGGUCUUAAUGUGCUUUUAAAGGGGCCCUGGUACGCUUUUUCUGGGUCGCCAUGUUUACGCUAAAUCUAUUCUCAGCGUGCCAUAAAACGGAGCAAAAUAAAUGAUGAAAAUCGACCCACACAAACCUUCUUAUUGCUCAUAAAAAAUUCUAAAUACAAGUGAAGGGAGAGUUACCCUUCCAUUGAACAUUUCACUUUGCCAUGACUUCAUGCGGCGACAUCUAUGGCAGCAAGCCUGCUCAGCCUGUUCAUGGCGUACCCAUGGCCUCUACAAUCUGGCGGUUCGCGGUCUAAUCUGGUAGGCCAUGGCUUCACAUUUAUAGUGACGUCAUGGCCUCGGCACCAAAGUGCUCGGCAAGGGGUGCAUAAUUCUCAUGAUUGCAACACCUUGCCCAUGGAUGUGCAUUACCUUAAAUGUAUUUGUUUAAA